AGGAAACAAACUCCUGUCCUAGGAGGAUUUCAUCUGGAGUGCAGCGUGCUGGUGACACGUGGGAACAGGCAGCGGCAAAGGUUGGGUAGCCAUGACAUGCCGAGUCACACUGGAAACCACCUCCUUCCCGAGCAGCAGGGUCCUCAGUUACAGCUUCGCUGUGCCUUCAAAGCCUGCUUCUCCAGGGCACCUCACUCCGCUCACUGGUCCUCAUUCAAUAUUCCCAUGUGUUUGUUUGUGAGGAAGUCCAGAAAAGGAAUGUUGCAAAUGGCCUGGUGAAUAUUACUCACUGUAAUUUCUUUGGGAAUCCUGGUCCAAAAAACAAAGGGUGUUACCAGGUGAAAUUCUCUCACGUAUAUCUCAUCAUUUAUUCACUUAACUCAUCACAGGGACCAUCCCAGGCAGAGGCCCCGUGGAGAGGGCUCCUGAGCCACAGACAUAGCUUAGGGCCACUCUGGGGUGAGGACUGCCUUCCUGUCAUAGGCAUGAGAAGGAUGUCAACAAGUUGGUUGAAUAAUUAGGAAAAAAGAUUCUGAGAACUGAGAAAAGAGAAAGAAAACAAAGCGGAUGGCAGAACGGAAUGACACAUUUGUGAGUGAGUCUCAGCAGACCGAAAGCUGAGUCAAAGCACCACAAAACUCUGGGACCUUAUUUCCCAUCUCCUAGAAAGACGGGAGACGGAGCCACGCCAGGCCAGGCGUGAUGUUAAUCGUUCCAUCAAAAGCACCUAAGUCACUCUACCCCUCCAGGACAGGGAGCACAGAGAUGGAGUCUCACUCUCGCGCCCAGGCUGGAGCGCAGUGGCGCGAUCUUGGCUCAGUGCAACCUCCGCCUCCCGGGUUCAAGCGAUUCUCCUGCCUCAGCCUCCCAAGUAGCUGGGAUUACCAGGCACCCACCUUCAGGAUCAUGUCCUCCACCACGGACGCAUACACGUUCCUGUGGAGUGCCACGGGCUGCAGGGUGAUCCCAAUCUGGAAAAGCAGAAGAAAGCCGUUUGUUCGUAUCGCUGCUUUAGAAACAGCCUCUCUCCAAACAAGCAUACCUCCCUGACAUGCAAAGCGAUGCCUGGUUGGAAGGAGGACUCUGCAAACAU
ensembl:lncRNA YEATS2-AS1 YEATS2 antisense RNA 1